GGAGACCCGGAGAGUGAGCUCCGGGAGGUCCGGGCAAGAGAAGCUGCAACGGCGCCAGGGGCCUCGUGCCCGACCUGACCUGGCAAAGUUCUGGUUGGUGCUGCGGAUGGCCUCCAGCUCCCGGCUCAGGCUCUGCCGGGACUUCAGAAUAGAGAGCGGGACCUGAUGAGGAAGACCCUGCCCAGCUUUGGAAACCUCCAAAGAUCAGUCCCUCCCAUGGAGCACGUCCCCAGGACCUGUUUAUCCUGGACAUGCUCAGGACCAGCCUGCUGGCUCCCACACAGUAUGAGCUCUGCCCUGAACUGCCAGAGAAGAGGCUCCUCAUAGCAAGGCGGUCCUGCCCCUGCGCUAAGCCCUGGUUGAUCAGCUGCGGCCUCAGGCCACACAGAUGUGCAACACAUGUUGGCCAGGUGUGAGCCCGGGGCUUUGCUGAAUGGUGGGUUCAUACCAGCUUUCUUCUCCUUAUCCAUGCUAAUUGUAUUAAACAUGCUCUUGUUUGUAUA